GAAACUAACAAGGAUUCCCCUAGUAACUGCGAGUGAAGCGGGAAAAGCUCAAAUUUAAAAUCUGGCGGUCUUUGGCCGUCCGAGUUGUAGUCUGGAGAAGUGCUUUCCGCGCUGGACCGUGUAUAAGUCUCUUGGAACAGAGCGUCAUAGAGGGUGAGAAUCCCGUCUUUGACACGGACUACCAGUGCUUUGUGAUGCGCUCUCAAAGAGUCGAGUUGUUUGGGAAUGCAGCUCAAAAUGGGUGGUAAAUUCCAUCUAAAGCUAAAUAUUGGCGAGAGACCGAUAGCGAACAAGUACCGUGAGGGAAAGAUGAAAAGCACUUUGGAAAGAGAGUUAAACAGUACGUGAAAUUGCUGAAAGGGAAACACUUGAAGUCAGUCGCGUUGGCCGGAACUCAGCCUUGCUUUCGCUUGGUGCACUUUCCGGUUGACGGGCCAGCAUCGACUUCGACCGGCGGAAAAGGGUUGGAGGAAUGUGGCACCCUCGGGUGUGUUAUAGUCUCUAGUCGCAUACGUCGGUUGGGAUCGAGGAUCGCAGCGCGCCGCAAGGCAGGGGUUCGCCCACUUUCGCGCUUAGGAUGCUGGCAUAAUGGUUAUAUGCCGC
rnacentral:rRNA from 1 species